rnacentral:rRNA from 1 species
CCCUUAGAUGUUCUGGGCAGCACGCGCGCUACAAUGGUCUUCGCAAACGGAAGCAUUCUCGAAGGAGAAUGCCAAUCUUGGAAUCUAUGCCUUGGUCGGGACAGUUGCUUGCAAUUUUUCGACUCGAACCAGGAAUUCCUUGUAAUCGUGAUUCAUCACAUCACGAUGAAUACGUCCCUGCCCUUUGUACACACCGCCCGUCGCUCCUACCGAUCGAAGAGUUAGGUGAAUUGUUUUGAUCGAUAAGAUUUGACUAUGGUCAACUCUCGUUGUGAAAUUCUGUGAAUCUGACUGUUUAGAGGAAGGAAAAGUCGUAACA